rnacentral:rRNA from 1 species
GAUGAACGCUGGCGGCGUGCCUAAUACAUGCAAGUCGAGCGAACGGACGAGAAGCUUGCUUCUCUGAUGUUAGCGGCGGACGGGUGAGUAACACGUGGAUAACCUACCUAUAAGACUGGGAUAACUUCGGGAAACCGUAGCUAAUACCGGAUAAUAUUUUGAACCGCAUGGUUCAAAAGUGAAAGACGGUCUUGCUGUCACUUAUAGAUGGAUCCGCGCUGCACUAGCUAGUUGGUAAGGUAACGGCUUACCAAGGCAACGAUGCAUAGCCGACCUGAGAGGGUGAUCGGCCACACUGGAACUGAGACACGGUCCAGACUCCUACGGGAGGCAGCAGUAGGGAAUCUUCCGCAAUGGGCGAAAGCCUGACGGAGCAACGCCGCGUGAGUGAUGAAGGUCUUCGGAUCGUAAAACUCUGUUAUUAGGGAAGAACAUAUGUGUAAGCAACUGUGCACAUCUUGACGGUACCUAAUCAGAAAGCCACGGCUAACUACGUG